rnacentral:rRNA from 1 species
GACGAACGCUGGCGGCGUGCUUAACACAUGCAAGUCGAACGGAAAGGCCCCUUUUGGGGUACUCGAGUGGCGAACGGGUGUGUAAAACGUGAGUAAACUGCCCUCGCCUUCGGGAUAAAUUCCGGAAACAGGGGCUAAUACCGGAUAGGUAUCCUUGCUGCCUGGUGGGGGUUGGAAAGCAUCGGGGGUCUUGGGUGGACUGGCGGCUUGUCGGAUUGGUGGUGGGGUAGUGGUUUACCCGUGCAUUGACGGGUAGGUGGCCUGGGAGGGCGAGCGGCCACAUUGGGACUGGGAUACGGCCCAGGCUCCUACGGGGGGCAGCAGUGGGGAAUAUUGCACAAUGGGCGGAAGCCUGAGGCAGCAGCGCCGCGGGCGGGGUGACGGCCUUCGGGUUGGAAACCGCUUUCAGCAGGGGCUAAGCUUGUGGUGACGGUACCUGCAGAAGAAGCACCGGCUAACUACGUG